rnacentral:rRNA from 1 species
GGGAAAUGCGGCGGCUUAUACAUGCAAGUCGAGGGGUAGUGGAGCUUGCUCCAUGAGACCGGCGCACGGGUGCGUAACGCGUAUGCAAUCUACCUCUAUCUGGGGGAUAGCCCGAAGAAAUUCGGAUUAACACCGCAUAAAAUCACAGUACCGCAUGGUACAAUGAUCAAAUAUUUAUAGGAUAGAGAUGAGCAUGCGUGUCAUUAGUUAGUUGGUGGGGUAACGGCCCACCAAGACCGCGAUGACUAGGGGAUCUGAGAGGAUGACCCCCCACACUGGUACUGAGACACGGACCAGACUCCUACGGGAGGCAGCAGUAAGGAAUAUUGGUCAAUGGAGGCAACUCUGAACCAGCCAUGCCGCGUGCAGGAAGACAGCCCUCUGGGUCGUAAACUGCUUUUAUUCGGGAGUAAACCUAUCUACGUGUAGAUAGCUGAAUGUACCGAAGGAAUAAGGAUCGGCUAACUCCGUGCCAGCAGCCGCGGUAAUACGGAGGAUCCAAGCGUUAUCCGGAUUUAUUGGGUUUAAAGGGUGCGUAGGCGGCCUGUUAGGUCAGGGGUGAAAGACGGUAGCUCAACUAUCGCAGUGCCCUUGAUACUGAUGGGCUUGAAUGAACUAGAGGUAGGCGGAAUGUGACAAGUAGCGGUGAAAUGCAUAGAUAUGUCACAGAACACCGAUUGCGAAGGCAGCUUACUAUGGUUUUAUUGACGCUGAGGCACGAAAGCGUGGGGAUCAAACAGGAUUAGAUACCCUGGUAGUCCACGCCCUAAACGAUGAAUACUCGCUGUUGGCGAUACACAGUCAGCGGCUAAGCGAAAGCGUUAAGUAUUCCACCUGGGGAGUACGCUCGCAAGAGUGAAACUCAAAGGAAUUGACGGGGGCCCGCACAAGCGGAGAGCAUGGUGGUUUAAUUCGAUGAUACGCGAGGAACCUUACCCGGGCUUGAAGGUUUAGUGAAGUUUCCAGAGAUGGGAGCGUCCGCAAGGACACGAAACU